GGACUACCCGGGUAUCUAAUCCUGUUUGAUCCCCACGCUUUCGCGCCUCAGCGUCAGAAAUGUGCCAGAUAGCCGCCUUCGCCACCGGUGUUCCUCCUAAUAUCUACGAAUUUCACCUCUACAUUAGGAAUUCCGCUAUCCCCUCACAUCCUCCAGUUAUACAGUUUCAAAGGCAGUUCCGGAGUUAAGCUCCGGGAUUUCACCCCUGACUUGUAUAACCGCCUACGCGCUCUUUACGCCCAGUAAUUCCGAACAACGCUAGCACCCUUCGUAUUACCGCGGCUGCUGGCAC
rnacentral:rRNA from 1 species